rnacentral:tRNA from 1 species
GGACAGCUGUGGUUCAGUGGUUAGAGCAUCUGCUUUGCUCUCAGAUGUUCCCAGAUUCAAUCCCUGGCAUUUUCA